CUACGGGGCGCAGCAGUGGGGAAUAUUGCACAAUGGGCGCAAGCCUGAUGCAGCCAUGCCGCGUGUAUGAAGAAGGCCUUCGGGUUGUAAAGUACUUUCAGCGGGGAGGAAGGGAGUAAAGUUAAUACCUUUGCUCAUUGACGUUACCCGCAGAAGAAGCACCGGCUAACUCCGUGCCAGCAGCCGCGGUAAUACGGAGGGUGCAAGCGUUAAUCGGAAUUACUGGGCGUAAAGCGCACGCAGGCGGUUUGUUAAGUCAGAUGUGAAAUCCCCGGGCUCAACCUGGGAACUGCAUCUGAUACUGGCAAGCUUGAGUCUCGUAAAGGGGGGUAGAAUUCCAGGUGUAGCGGUGAUAUGCGUAGAGAUCUGGAGGAAUACCGGUGGCGAAGGCGGCCCCCUGGACGAAGACUGACGCUCAGGUGCGAAAGCGUGGGGAGCAAACAGGAUUAGAUACCCCAGUAGUC
rnacentral:rRNA from 1 species